rnacentral:tRNA from 28 species
AAUAGCUCAGUUGGUAGAGCACGACCUUGCCAAGGUCGGGGUCGCGAGUUCGAGUCUCGUUUCCCGCUCCA